CAAGUCGACCGGAUGGCCGCCGGUGCCGCUCGCGGCACGGGAGGAAAGUCCGAGCUCCACAGAACGGGGUGCUGGGUAACGCCCAGGCGGGGCAACCCGACGGAAAGUGCCACAGAGAACAGACCGCCAGCGGCCCCUCUCGGGGGGUGCGGGCAAGGGUGAAACGGUGGGGUAAGAGCCCACCGCUCCGCCGGUGACGGCGGGGGCACGGUAAACCCCACCCGGAGCAAGACCAAAUAGGGAAGCGCUACCAGGGCUGUUCGCCCGAUGCUUCCGGGUUGGUCGCUAAAGGGCCGGGGCAACCCGGUCCGUAGAUAGAUGGUCAUCCCCCCUCCGCCCUUGGUGGGGGACAGAACUCGGCUUACAGGUCGGCUUGGGCC
rnacentral:RNase_P_RNA from 1 species